rnacentral:rRNA from 1 species
UACGGAGGGAGCUAGCGUUGUUCGGAUCUACUGGGCGUAAAGCGCACGUAGGCGGCUCGAUAAGUCUGCUGUGAAAGUCCAGGGCUCAACCCUGGGAUGCCGGUGGAUACUGUCGAGCUCGAGUCCGGAAGAGGCGAGUGGAAUUCCUGGUGUAGCGGUGAAAUGCGCAGAGAUCAGGAGGAACACCUGUGGUGUAGACAGCUUACUGGACGAUAACUGACGCUGAGGCACGAAAGCGUGGGUAGCAAACAGG